CCUACGGGAGGCAGCAGUGGGGAAUAUUGCUCAAUGGGGGAAACCCUGAUGCAGCGACGCCGCGUGAGUGAAGAAGUAAUUCGUUAUUUAAAGCUCUAUCAGCAGGGGAGUAAAUGACGGUACCUGAGUAAGAAUCCCCGGCUAACUACGUGCCAGCAGCCGCGGUAAUACGGAGGGGGCAAGCGUUAUCCGGAUUUACUGGGUGUAAAGGGAGCGUAGACGGCAGUGCAAGUCUGUAGUGAAAGGCGGGGGCUCAACCCUCGGACUGCUCUUGAAACUGUACGGCUGGAGUGCAGUAGAGGUAAGUGGAAGUCGUAGUGUAGCGGUGAAAUGCGUAGAUAUUAGGAAGAACACCAGUGGCGAAGGCGGCUUACUGAACUGUAACUGACGUUGAGGCUCGAAAGCGUGGGGAGCAAACAGGAUUAGAUACCCUAGUAGUC
rnacentral:rRNA from 1 species